CACGUAGGGCGCAAGCGUUGUCCGGAAUUAUUGGGCGUAAAGAGCUCGUAGGCGGUCUGUUGCGUCCGCUGUGAAAACUCGGGGCUUAACCCCGAGCCUGCAGUGGAUACGGGCAGACUAGAGGUAGGUAGGGGAGAAUGGAAUUCCCGGUGUAGCGGUGAAAUGCGCAGAUAUCGGGAGGAACACCGGUGGCGAAGGCGGGUCUCUGGACCGAUACUGACGCUGAGGAGCGAAAGCGUGGGGAGCGAACAGG
rnacentral:rRNA from 1 species